rnacentral:pre_miRNA from 1 species
CGACACCUGACUGACAUCUGCAGGCUGGACUGGGUGAGUAUCUCUUUGAAAGCCUCACCCUCAAGCACAACUAGGAGC